CAGAGUCACAAGGCUUGAUGAUUCUUAUGAGACAGGUAGGGAUUAACUAGAUGGAGACAGAGGAGAGUGAAGUUUCAGACAAAGAGUAAAUAUUUACCAUUGUUUGGUAUAAUAUUUUAGAGAAGAUUUUUUUUCAGUGUUGUUGAGAACAAAUCUGGGGUGGGAGGUUAGAUCAGUUUGGAGCUAUUGCAAUAGUCUAGGCAGAAAAUGAUGAGGGCAUAAACUAAUACUCUAUCCAGAAGGAAUUGAUUUGAGAGCUAGUAUAACAUUUGAAUUAAUAGGACAGUGUUACCACCUAGACACUGAGGGAUACAGUGGACUCUUGGAUAGCAUAGGUGCUUUUUUAGGGGUUACUAGAUUGAUAACCAUGCCAUUUACUGAGAUAUGCACACAGGAAGUGGGUAGACUUGGGUGGAUGGUUAUGACUUUUAGAUUUAUUGAGUAUAUACCAUUUGUGGAAGAUAUAUACGAAGAGAAUGAUGAGGUGGGAUAACAUAUUGAGAUGUAAAUGAUGUUUUAAUCCCUUCUCUUGGAUUCAGUUGGUAUUCCCCUGGCCCAGGCAGCUAGGGUAUUCUGUCUACGCUGCCACAAGAGAAGAGAUGAUCAAUAUGAAGCACAGCAAAAGAGUUAAUUCUUAGGUUUAACUUCCAUAAGCCUAGGCCUUCCCAUAAAGAAAAAUUUUGAAGAAAAAAAGAAUUUUGAAAACAGAUAAAAAUAUUCCUUUUCUGCAAAUCUCUUCCCCUUCCUAGGCUAGAGAAAAUGUUAUGGGCUCCAGAAAGGGACCUCUCUUCCUCAACUCCAGAGACAUGAUUUGGCAAAUUACAGCAUUCUCUCACAACAAGCAAGGGCAGGAGCAGAAAAAAUCUUCUCCUGGUGUGUCUAGAUAGACUGGCUGGAGAUGGCUGUGCAGACAUGCCCACAACCCUGAGUGAUUUGGGAUCAAGUGAAUAUUUUCCAUGUGCCCUAGAAUGGCUCAUCCAUGGCUGAAAGUGGGCUGAAUUCAAUGAAGUCAGGAAAGAGGAGAUUGUGGCCCAGAUUUCUGUGGGUUGAUGAGUAAAGCCCAAACUGGGAACAGGGACAUCUCAGCAAAUGGCAAAGUGCAUAUGUAAACAGAUUGUUCUCAAACCCCGCAAUGUCCUCAGAAUUGAAGAGCAAGUCGAGGGAGAAGGCAGAUUGCUCCUUCAACUGAUUGAAAUGAAGUUUUCAUUAUUGGGUGAAAUGGGUUCUCAAAUACAAAUGAAGUUCAAUUCUUGAAAUAUAAAGAAAGCUCAUUUAUGUGAGGUAUAGUUUUGUAGCGUGGGAUGCACACCUGCAGUGUACGGUAUGCAAUUGGAUAUGCUCUCCUGGAAUGCAACUGAGAAAGCUCAUCUGGAGCUGUUAGCUUGGAAGGCAUCAGCGUGUCUGUGGUAGUCGAAAGCUUGGCAAGAAUCGGAUUACCUUGGUAACAUACGGAGCAAGAGAGAAAAAGGUUGAGGGCAAAAAUGUCUGAAGAACACCAAAAUUCAAACCAGCAGAAGAAGAUGACGGUCCCCUUAAAGAACACUGAGGAAGCAUUUUUAGCAGCCUGUUGUCUGAAUGUCUAACGUUGCCGGCCUUGCAUUGCAAUUCAAAAGGGCUGUCACCUAACGUGUCUAGGUUUCAUAAGAAAUGUUAUAUAUUGGUAAAAUCUUUCUUGCCUUUCAUCAUUCACAUGAUUAAGCUAAAUGACUUCUGCAGUUCUUUGUUUUAUAUUGACUUUGACUUCAGGCAGAAAGGAGAAUCUGAGCAUCGGUACACAUAAACAUUUCAAUGAGCUUUUACUUAAAAAAAGAUCAGUGUUUACCCUCCCCAAACAAGGAACAAGCAAACAGAGAAAGUAGCUAUCAAAUAACAUACAUUAGAUCAUGGGUAAGCUGUGAUUCGUCAUAAACAGCUGUAGUACAGAAUAGCGUGAAAAGUUAGAGCUUGGUAGCUGGGUAAUUCUUGAGUGUUUAUUAGAGUUUCAGUUGUCUUCGAGUAACCUAUAGCAAUAAAUCUCUGGUGCACACACUGGUAUUUUCGAGUGCUUUAGAGAUAUAGACUCUUAUUCAGGAUGAAGCGGAAGGGGCUGCCAGCACUUCAUGUGUCAGCCUUGGUAAAAACUGAUGUUCAUGUCUCACUGUCAGUUGUCACCUGGGAUGGAUUUCAGUUGCCAUUGUGAAUAUAAAAAGCUCACUAUCCCAUUAUUAAUUCCCAUGAGUUAUUUAGUCCUGUCUUUCUUUUUCUAAAGGUUAAACUCUUAUCUUUCUUCUAAAAAGUUAGAUAAUUAACAUUCUCACUUACAAUGCUUCCAUAACAUCUGUAGAUUAUGCACCAUUAAUCAAGUUCCUCUGCAGGCAUGAUUGACUUUUGCAAGCAAACUUGGCAAAUAAAUCCUUUCUGUUUAGCAAUAACUUUGUUGUUAUUAUGGCUAAAAAAUCUCUUUCUGAGAAACUCAAUUUAGAGUAACAGUCUCUAGCUACUUAAAACGAGUAUCAUAAAGCCAUAUAACAGAAAUAAGAGUAAAUGACGUAUUUUAGAAUCUUUGAGUGCUGACAUCUUUUGCAUUAGAAACUUUAGAAUUUGUGGUUUCCAAAGCAUUGCCUAUUUAUAAAACCAUUUGUAUUAACAUUUAAAGUCCCCAUUUUCAAAUGACAAAAGCAAAAAUUAAGGAUAUAUAUUUUAUUAGUGUUUUAACUUGAACUUAGAAUUCACUUGUAUGAAAAGAUAUAAAAAAUCAGAUUUUUAACAUUCUAGAAUUUCUGUGCCUGAAGUAUUUGUCAAGAGCACCUGUACAAGGCAGGUGCUGGACAUUUAUAGAAAAUAUGUCCUAGCAACGAUUUGUUCAUGGAAAAAAUCUGUUUUAUGUCUGUGAUGUUUCCUUGACAUUUUCUUUCUGCUAUAGGUUUCUUAUAAUGCCUCCUUGAUCUGUCUUAGGAGAUAGAUUGUGGGAAUUUUUUGGAAACUUUAGAGAUCUAUUAAACAUAGAAAUAAAACCUCUUCUUUUCCAUCAUAAGACCUUGUUUUCAAUUCUCUCCCUCAUGUUGCCUUCUCCUUUCUUUUUACUUCCCUGAGAAAGUGGCAGAAAAUACCAAAGCACUUUGAAGGAAAUAAAUUAAUAUAAAACUUUGGGGGGUUGGAUAACAGAAAACACACAUGAAUUGGAUCAAUAAACCUAAAUAUCAGUGUUUUAUGCCAAAAAUAUUGAUAAAACGUCUUGAUCUAAGUGACUUUUCCUCUAUAUUUGAAUAUAAUAAAAGUUUUUACAGAAAAAACGAUUGACAACCUUGACGUAGAGGCAAAUAUGUUUUUAAUCUCAGUAGUUUAGACAAAGGAUCCAGAGUUUUGAAAAAGAAAGCAGUGUAGUGCCAGUAGAUGAUGUUUAGGUGUACUGACCACAUUACAGGGUCGAGGUGUCUUCUAAAAAUGGUCAACUAGUCAAGAUCUUUGUAUAAGACUAAGGUCCUGAAAAGGUGAUACACUGAAUAAUUAGUCAUCAAGUAACUUGUCUCUAUUUAUAAAAAAAAUUGUUUGUGAAAAUAAUUACAUUUAGUGUUCACUUAAAGUUUAAUCUCUAACCAUAUCGGACCAUUCAUAAUUACCUAUAUGUUUAAAAAUCCUUAUAAAUUUGCUUAUAUUGACCUCUACCUCUUUCCUUCCGGGUGACCUGCUACUUAUUCUUAAAGAGGCAAAGAUCAUGCCUUCCUGUGAAGGUUUUGAAACCCCUUUAUUCAUAAAUAAUCUUUUUCCUUGCCAUGAUCCUCUAUUAUUUGGCACAGAGCUUAACCAAUCACUUUGCAUCCUACUUUUUUUGCCCACGUGUUUUGUUUCUCCCUGUUAAAUGUGAUCUCAGCAAGGGCCAUAUUUCAGCCAUCAUAUUCCCAGAAAUGAGCUCAGUGCCUGACACAAGCAGUUAUAGUUUAAAAAUAUAUGUGAAAGUAUAGAAAUUUAUAUUCUUAGAGUUAGAAACAAGGAGGGGCACCGUUAAUAUCUUAAGCUCAGGAAAUAUUUACUUCUUUCUCCAGCUACAAACAGCCUCCAUGAUUUAUUAUUACUUCCUAAUGGAAGACUAAAUUAAGAGGAAAAAUGACUAAGAACAGAGAUUUAAGUUGCAGACUGAUGAAACCGUACAAUUCAAACAUUAUGAGGAAAAAAGUCUGUGACUUAAAUAUUUUGUAACCUUGCACUUAAAUGAGACAUUAUUUAGAAAAAAUGGAGGAAAAAGAUCAUCAAAAUCUAAGCAUUUGAAAAAUGAGAACAUAUUUCUAGAUUUACCUUAUUUGACCUUUAACAAAUAAGCAAACACAAUGACAUCAGAGUAAGUGCUAAGGAUGUCAAGUACCAAUCUGUACUCAGAACUGAUGACCAAGCACCCUUUAAAGUGUGUUGUACCAAGAGUUUAGCAGAAGCAGACACAAGUAAUUCUACUGGAGUAUUUGUUCUCACACCUUUGGAUUUUAAAUGCACGUGUUCCUUUCAUUCUUAAGUAUACUGAAAGCAAGGUUGAACUAGGAUAUGGAGAGAAAUUGUUCUUCUAAUAAGACUUCUACUGUAAGCACAUACAACUUCUUAGCUCUAAUCUCCCUCUCCUCUUCUCCUUCCCUCCCUAUCUCUGUUUGUCUGUCUGUCUCUCUAUGUAUAUAUUCUUGUUUAGAAAAUGAUUUUGUUUGGUAUAUUUUCUUUGUUACUAUAUCCUCAAUAAGUAGAACAGUGGUCGACACACAGUAGGAACUCAAUAAGUCUUUGUGGAUGGAUAUACAUUUCUAUAUUACCAAGAUAGGUCACACAUGGAAACAGAACACAUGGUCUUUGUUUGGUAGCUGGUAAUAUCUAGAGGACUAGAAGACCUCUAAUAUACACACUCUGAUCAGUUUUACUAAACAGUCCUCCUGCUGAAAUUAGAAAUAUCUUCAUUCUAUUUUCAGUAUAAUGUUUAAUAAAGGUAAACUAAUUAUCAUACCCUGUGAGUAAGACUGUGUUGGUCUCUAUUUCCAAAGUCCAGAGGCCAAAUUGAUAUAAACAUCGGCCUAUUUCCUCUAAUAAAUCAGUUUGAACAUUGAUUGUAAUAUAAUAAAACAUAUUUUCUAGAAGAUGUAAUUAUAAAUAUUGUCAACAAGAGAGAAAUCAAGUAUUUAUUGAGCUAUCUGCAAAGCUUCCACAGCAAAGAGAAUGCUUAGCUUUAAGAGCAAUGUAUGAGAUUUAUGGGUAUCCGAUAAUCUUAACAUUUUAGAGAUGAAACUUUCAGAGUUUGAAAGUCAUUAUUUCUAGGAUCUAACCUUUUUAAAAGAGAGAAUGAGAUGAAAAACAUCUAGGUGACUGAGCAAGGACACGUAGUUAGACGGUGAGUCCUCAAGAAGGAAUCCAUGACUCCGGGCUCCCCUUCUAAUGCUCUUUUCAGUUCACCCCUAUUGUUCAGUAUACCCCGUGAUUUAAUGAAACCCACAUAUAUCCAAAUAUUAAACUAAUUUAACCACUUAUUACAAGGUAGAAUGAAAUGUCAACGUAGGUAAAAAUCAUUCAAGAAAAUCAGAGGAGGAAGCCAUGUUUUUCUUAAGUGAUGGAAAACCACAGCCUCUGUAUAUGCGUGUAUUGUGAAGAGCUCCAUCAUGUGGAAGUUUUGAGAACUUCAAUGUAGACGGUACUAGAUUUCACAAGCCCUUGGCAUUACCAUAGGCCAUGAUCUUCCUUGAUGCUGCAAUUUCUCUAGCUCUUCUUUUGGAUUUUUAUUGGUCCAUUAAAAAAAAAAUAAUGGAAAUCUCUGUUUCUGAACAGAGAAUUCUUCAGAAUGACUGUUUCUGAAGGCUAUUUUGUAGCACCUUCAACUGAUUGGGGGAUUCUGUUUGGAAGACUGAUCAGAAAUGUUAUCUUUGGAUAUUGGAGAUAAUUUUUUAAAGCACUCCAGUGUUUGAAAAAUGGUAUGUGAAUCAAUAAGUAGUUAAAAUAAUGAUGAUGACAGAGGAAAUCUUUUGGGGAAAGCAUUUCAAACUGAAUCAUUGAAUUCAUCUUUCAACAUCUUAAGGUAUCAACCAGAAAAGCAGACAAUGGAACAUAUACAAAUUAAUAUCUUGGUCAGGUGGAGAAGUUAAAAAAAUCCUUUAAUAGAACGGAAAGUGUAGCUAUUGAUUUCUUAGGAGAUAGGAUUGCUAAAGGCUGAAUUGCUUCUAUGAUUAAAUCACCAGCUUCAGCUCUGGCAUCAGUGUUUCCUUCAGUCAAAAUCACAGAGGAUAUCUGCAGAUCCCUAGAGCUGCUUCUCUGAGUAAACUAGUAAAACACAAAUAUUUCCCUGAGGGCUUUUGAUCCAGUGUUAGAUUAGCUGCCUGAAGUUGAUCAUUUCAGUUUUUCUUAGAGAGAUCUAUAGAAGCUAGUUACCUCCCUGACUUGCCCUUCUGUAUCUGAGAAUUAAAAUGGAUAAGAGUUGAAACCUCUGCAUUUAUUUAGUGCACUGCAGGGCAAGAUGGAAAGGCUGGUUCCUAAUGGAUCAGCCUUUCGUAUUUCUACCUUCUGGGUGAGAUAUUAUUGCUUUGGGUGUUUGAAAAUAUUAUACUCUAGAAAGGGAAAUUAGGUAUUUAGAGUUCAGAAUUCAUCACCAACUACUCUUUUGUCUCAUGAGUAAGAUAAACCACCAUUAAAAAAAUGAUCUUAUGAAACAGAUUACAGGCACACCAAAACCCUAAACUCGGCUUGCAAUAAUGAAAUGACUAAGAGGGGUGGGUGAAAGAGAAGGUAAGGUUUUAAACAAAUAAAUUUAUUGGACAGUCUUGACUUGGCGGUAUACAAACCCAAAAUAGUUCCACCCCCCAUCAUCGCCUUCAACCAUGCUUCGUUGAUUAUCCUUUUUCCGACCCAUAAUGACAUCUUCGGAGAUCCCAUAGAUGUCCCGUCACUUUCUGUUGUUAAAAACUGCAAUCUAGCCUUGUUGUCUUUAAAUCUCUGAUUUCAUCACCUUCUUUCCUCCCAGUGCUGACCAUGGAGCGUUGCAUUUCCACGACUUCACCCCUUUUCCCUUCUUUCUGGAUCUGUUUACUUCAUUGAUAGUGGCGGGAGAAGGCAUUGCAGAAACAGGCAAUAAUCUUUUAACCUCACUAGUACAUUUUCACUGCUGUGCGUGCUUAUGUACAUAAUGAUGGCCAGCUGUGAUGCCCUCUGUCUGGCAGGAAUCAAAUGCUGCUCUUCCAGUUACAAGCCUGACUCUUUGGGAGCCAUGAGAUAUUUCUUCCCAUCUCACCAUCCCAGAGGCAGGAGAUUUACUGGCUCUAAUUCUUCCAACCACCUUUCCCUUCUUCCCUCCACCUCCAAAAGCUCCCUGUUUGCAGCUCUCUGCUCUCUGUGGCCAGCAGAGAGGGGUGUGGUGAGGGACCAGGGAGAUGACUGAAACAUAGGUACCUUCUCUCACUACUUGACUCAUAGAAAUCUGCUGCAUUCUCACCACCUCAAACCAUGGAAAUGCCAGCUAUUCCAUUGUUCCUGUCUCUUCACAUUGUCUUUUCCGUGCAGUUCUCUUUUCUGCCAGCUUGUAUAGGCUCCAGAAGAUUAGUGAGCUCAUGGCGUAAACUGACUUUCAUGCAGAAAUGCAAUGCCAAUCAUUCUGGAAAGAGUUAAUCUUCACUUGGCUGUUGGGCAGGGUGGCCAAAUAUUGCAUUGUCAAAAUCAGGUCACUUUUGAGAAUAAAAGGGGCUCGAGGUAUAAACCAGGUCUUUUUUUGGGCAAUUACCCUAUUAAUGGGAAGGUAAAGAGCUCUUUGUUUGUAGGGCUCCCCUUGUGAGUAUAGGAAGCCACAGUCCUGUCUCCCUAGGAUAAAGUCUCAAGACCAAGGAGAUUCUCCUCUCUCUCUCCUCCCUAGUAUUCGGUUUAUCUGAGGGGAAGGGAUAGGGUAGUGCAGGUUAAUGGUGUAGGUAGUAAAGUGAGUUUGGCAACAGUCAAGGUGUCUGGCCCCCAAUUGUUUGUGCUUCAGUUCAGAAUUUUAGGUACUUGAUGCCCCUUUGUUCUUAGCUUUCAAUCCUUCAUAUCAGUUAUAGGGCAAGAGGAAAACUACUCAACAUCAACUGAAAUGUACAAAUUUAAUUAUAAAAAUCAGAUAUUUCAGGAAUCAUGAUUUAACAGAGAUUAAUGUAAUCUAGUUAUUUUCAACUAACCAUGUGGUAAAGGGUGUGGUUUUCCAGAACAAGGAUCCUAACACUCCAAGACUAUUGCCUUCUCAAUAACUUUCAUUCUACAAAUAUAUCAUUUAUCUUCUGUAUCAUUGACUUCUUCCGCUUUAUUGGAUAAUUCUCCACAGCCUAUGUAUAUUUUGUAAUACAUUAUCUCUCACCUUACCAAAAACUCCAUCUGUUUUGAUUCCAUGUUCUGUGCCUGCUGCUAUAUAAUUUCUCUGCUCCCUUCCAUUUAAAAAUUUCUCAAAAUAAUUGUUUAUAUAUGUUUUUGAACCAACUUUUCAUUUCUUCUGCAUCCUCCAAGCUUUCUUCCCUCUUCUAUACUCACAUUGCUCUUGUCAUGGUAACCAAAUUCAGUGGUCACUUUUAUGUCCUUAUCUUGACCUCAGCAGAAUUCAAUUGUGUUGGCCUUCCUCUGUCACGUCAUUCCUUAAUUUAUGGUCUGAGACAUAAACAUAAAUGGUUUUCUUUUUACUUCAAUUUUGGUCCAUUUCAAACUUCUUUGAGAACUUCUUUUUUUCCAAAUCCUCAAACAUAAGCCGUUUCUUAUAAUCCCAUCCCUUAGGCAUAGGAGUGAGCAUAUGAUUCAGUUUGUGCUAAUGAAACACGAGAAGAGAUUUGCUCAAGAUUUCUGGGACUAACCUGACUAUGUCUUCUGAAAGAAAGCGAGUUCUUGAUAAGAUCACUUUUGAGACACCUCCCCGCCCCUCCUCCCCUCAUAUUUUAGAUCUUCCAAGCAGGAAAGCCAAUGGAUCUCACUUAUUGUUUAAGCCAGUUUCAUUCGUGUUUCCUGUUGGCUCCAUUUGAAUUCCUCCCAAGAAGCAGGGUGACUUAGAAGAAAGAGUAGACAGCUCUGCUUCUUUUAGUGUUUCCAAAAACCUGAAAGGUGAAAAUUUUUGUUCUUAAAAGAAAGAAAAGCAGUAAAGAAAUGGAGAAACUCGAUAACUUUAUAACCCAUUUGGGUUGCAAUGUUUUCACCAUAGCCUCAAUAUUGUGUGAAAAAUAAGCAUCAGGAAAUGUGUGUUCAUGUGGGUACAGACGUUAUGAUACAACAGAGCAACUGCUUUCCCCUUAGUUAUUGACGUACCUUACUCUCACAUGUGUUUGAACAUUGAAUGGGCUAUCCAGAAAAUUGAUCAUGAGAUGAAAGCAAGCAUAAUCAAAAGGAUGCUAUUACCAAAGAAUGAGAAAUUGUAAACUGAAGCAAAAGGGAUAGUUUUACCUUAGCAAUACGAUAAAAAGAAUGAGAUUACUGAAAGCACACCAUAAUCCACUUCCCCACUUUACUGGCUUGGUUUAGCGGUGAGACGUCUCAAGAUCCAUGAAAGGCACACGUUACUACUGCUUUCUUCACCUCCCCACUCCCUCUCUUCCAAUCUGUUUGAAUUUAUAUCCUUUUGGGCAGGAAAACUGAAUCAUAUUAAUAUUUAUUUCCUCCAUUAUGGUAUAAAGUUUAGUCUUUGAACCAUUCAGAACCCAAAAAAACAUUCUUUCAAUAAGAAAACUGAUUCUUGCAACCAAAAGUUUGUGCUUUUAAAACUAGUAUCUCUAUUUUGAUGUUAAUAACCCAUUUUGACAGUCAAAAAUCUAGGCUUUGAGAGUUUAUCUUACUAGUUUGGCUCUCCUCUAAGUCAAUAAAUCUGAGCCUCACGUCCAAUUUUAACUAUGGGAAGGGUCACAGUAAAAGGUGUUUCUGAGAACAGAAAUAAUCCCUUUGGAUUACUAUUUCAAAACAUUAGCCUACUGUGGAUAUAAAUUUAUAUAAACCAGAGGCUUCAAGUGCCUUCUCUUUCCUUCUCAGUGAGUGCUUCUCCUAAUCUGCUAGAUAUUUAGAAGUUAAAGCUUAAAUGUCUCUUCAUACGUCCUCUGCAUAUGUUCCUCUGUGGUAAUGGGUCUCUCUGCUGAUGCUCUUCGGGCUGCCUUUUGGUGUUAUUGAUUAUCACUUGUACCACUAUUGUAUUGUAAGGAUCACUGAGGGGACUAACAGCUCUUCCUUGAUUGGGCCUUGGAGUAAAUGAAUGGAGCGAUCUUCUCUAUUUUUCACACCUGACAUUCAGCCUCCAGAAGACUAAUACACCCAACUGCGGGCAUAUGAGUCAGGGAACUUUCAUACGGAAAUUACAACACGGAAGAGAAAAAAUGAAAGAUCUAGUCGAUUGAGACUUCCCUUUGAACCUGCUGUCUGGGUUCACAUACACUCACCAAGCUUAAAAAUAAAACACCAGUUAUUUUGCCAGCCAAAUGGCUUUAUUUGGGAAUGGCAGAGGAAUCGGAAUUCAGGAUAUGCAAGCUGUGGUGAAAGACAGGCAAGCCCGAAGAGACAAAGAGCAGGUCAGAUUUUACUAAGUUUUAGAAGGAAAUUGGGGAGAGUUGCGUUUGGACGACAGCUCAUUGGAGAAGAAGAAGAGCUGGAGCUGGUGGCCGUUCCUCCUUGGCUGCACGCGGUGGUCAGGGCGCUGUUACUGGGGGUUGGGAGGGAUCUUCCAUUUUUUUCUUAAAAGCAGGAGAUAAAAUUCCCACGUGGUUAAUGUUCUCCCUUGUCAAAAUAAUUAUCUUCCUUCUUCCUGCUCAUUGUGCGGCUGCAACGAGUGGUACGUGUGUUAGAGCCCCUCUUCAGGCCUCCCAACUCCAUUUUCAAUGAGGUGUCCUUUACUUAUUUCCACAAUCUUUACAGAUACAUCUUAAUUAGGAGGACACUGCCAGGAUGACUCUCUGCUUCCCUGACCUCAGGGUCAUUACUUCUGAUCAACCAGCAUUAUCUCCUCCCAAGACCUGCAGGAUUCUGAAGAAUUCCAGCCUCCCUACUGUUGCCUCUUACAUAGAUUCAUGUUGAAUAUGUAUUUCCCAGCAUCUAGAGAUGCUGAUUCAGUGCACUUGGUGACAGGUGUCUCAAUGACAAAGACAGGAGGCCUUUAAAAUCUUCAGUUGGGGAGUGUCAGGAUGGGUAUGACACAGGCCCACGCUGGCAAUCUAAAAUGAAGGCUGUUGGCAUAAUUGCUUUUCAUUCAAAAGUUAAGAAAUGCAGCUGCGUCCUCUUCACCUCCAGUUCUUGGAAUCUCUAUGCAUGGGAUGGAGAAUUGCCUCCUUCAUUUCUGAAUUUCUGUUCCCUCCUUCUUUAAACUAACUAAAGAUCAAUGAACUGAGUGCUAUUCUGGUUCUCACUAGACUUACCCUGGCCGAAAUAAUCCAUUUAGCAGGAAAAUAAAUCUAACGUAAAG